UAAAAAAUAAUUAUUCGUUCAACCGUAGCCAUUGCAAGAAGCAAUGUUGAGAAGAGUAUGGAAGACGAGAGCGACGGAAAGGGGCAAGCCAUCUGCUAUCGACCUCCGCCACCGUCAGAAGACAAGAACGACGGCAAAAGGCGACCGAUCUGCUAUCGACCUUAGCCACCGCCAACAGACGAGAACGACGGCAAGAAGCAUGCAAUCCUUUCCCCCUUUCCUGGCAUUCUCUCUGGAUGCUUGCUAUGGUUCUUUCUUUCUUUCUUUCUUUCUUGUUUUCUUGCUUUUCCUUUGAAUUUUAGUGACAGUUCUUGAUUUCUAGUUUUGCUUCGUUGUUCUUUGGAUUCUAGAGACGGUUCUUGAUUUCUAAUUGGUUUUGAUGUUUGUUUGGAUUCUUGAUAUGGUUACUUGAUUAUUCGGUUCUUAGUGUCCUGCGUUUUCUUUGGAUUCUACUGGAGGUUCUUGAUUUAUAAUUUGGUUUCAGUGUUCUUUGGAUUCUAGAGAUGAUUCUUGAAUUCUAGAUUGGUUUCGGUGUCCUUUGGGUUCUAGAGAUGAUUCUUGAUUUCUAGUUGGGUUUCGGGUAUGUUGACUUCAGUUGCCUGCGGGGGGAGCCCAAAUAGGAGGGCAGUAAUACCUAAAUUUAACCGGGAUAACCAUUCAUAUGAUUUUAUAUCAUUUAUUUGAUUUAUUUCAAUUUUACAUGUCGGAUGGUGACUGGAUUUUUAUUUUUUUUAUAUAUAUAUCAUGUAAGUGUUCAUUUUACAAAUCAAACUUCAUAGUUUUUGUUUUUUCAGUUCACUUUGUAAGUUUCUGUUUGUUAGCUUCUCUGUUUUUAUUUAUGUCGGGUUCCUGUAUCUGUUUGAAAAUUCAGUUAUAUAUUUUCUUUUACACUUUUUAUUAUUAUUAUUUUUAAAUAUUCGUAUAUUCAGUUUUCCAAUUUUUUUAUUUUUCUCCUGUGUAUUUUCUUUUUUAACUAAUAUUUUUUUGUUCUUUCCUUGUAUGUCCUGUUUUGUAUUUUAUGUUCCAUUUUUUCUAAUUUAUAUAUGUUGCUUACUAUUGACUCAUUUUCAUAUUCAGUUUACAAAAUCAGUUGCAUACAUCAUUUUUGAAAAAUUCUUCUGUUUGGUAAUCUUUGCCUUUGUUCUUCUAUAAUUGAGUUGUUUUUUUUGUUGCAAAUUCUGUUCUUUAUUUUCCUUUUCUGUCAACUAAAUGUUGAUUUAUAUUCUGCUUUCUGUUGCUGUCUUUACAUAUUCAGUUGUCUAUAUUUGUUUUGGGUUUCAUUUUACCUUUUAUUUUAUAGUUUCUUUUUCGAAUUUUAUAUAUCUUAUCUGCUCUUUGUCCUUCAUUUAUAUACCUUAUUCGGUCUUAUUUCAAUUUUUAGUAUUCUUGGACUUCUUUUUUUUCUGUGUUUUCAACAUAUAUCUUUCUUUGAUAGCAAAGUUUCCCAGGGGUGCAUAUGUUGUAACUUGCAUAGUCAAACAUAAAAGUCAUAUCCUGUUCUACUUUAGGGGGUUUAUAUAUAUGUUUCUUUAUUAGAGAAUUUAGCUUCAAUAUUUUGAUAUCCAAUUUAAUAAUAGUUAACAUAUGUUUUUAACUCGGACAAUGAAACAUUACAGUCAUAUCCUAUUUUACUUAAGGGGGUUUUGUACAUGUGUUUCUUUGUAAACAAAUUCUGCUUCGAUAAUUUGAUCUAAUUUAUUAAUAGUUAAUAUAAGAAAAUAAAUGAUAUGUUAUAAAAUAAGUAGUCUUUUUCUUGUAGUGUGGCUUCCAUGUGCAAAUUUACUAGUUAAAAGAAAAGGCAAUCAUUAUAUGGUAGAGCAUGAUACUAUACUUGCAAUGUUGUACUAUCUAUUUCAUACCAAGCUCUUAAUUUUAUAUUAUAUUUAACUUGUUACUUGUUAUGUGAUGCUGGAUCUUUAUCUUCUAUGGAUUUUUGAGAUGAUAGAGAUAAGUCCAUGAUCAAAAAUUUCCUGGUUCUGUCCUUUUAUAUCAAUCUGUACAUCAUGUGGUGUUUGCCUGUUUGGUCUCUUCUUAUAUAGACCUAUGAGGAGGCUGGGAGCUACAACUUUGUAAGCAUCACCUGGAUUUUCUCAUUUGUUUAGGUUAAUUAUUUAGCUCGCAAAUACAUGAUGCUAGAUUAUCCCUCUGAGGGAUUUGUGAGAGGAAUAGUGACCUGUGAUAUUGUAGUGUGGCUUCUGAGAUGGAAAAGAGGCAAUUGAAGCUAUAUGCCUGUAAGAAUUGCCUAAUAAUUUUAUUUUUUUAUUUUGAAGGGACUUUGUAGAAGGAUAUGGAGAACUGAAGCAAUGACCUUGUGACAAUCAUUCUGCUCUUUUAUUUUGUGUUUGUCACAUUAUCCGUGAUUUUUGUGGCAACAUAUUAAGAUGGUGGCUAGAGGGACCGAAACCUAUAAAUGGANNNNNNNNNNNNNNNACACACACACACACACACACAUAUGUAUGUAUAUGUAUGUAUAUAUAUAUAUGUGUGUGUGUAUGUGUGUGUGUAUUUAUGUAUAUGUAUGUAUAUAUAUAUGUGUGUGUGUAUAUAUAUAUAUGUGUGUGUGUGUGUGUUAAGUGGGUUAAAUGUCAUCCUGUGCUUGUAUAUCAUUAGAUGUCUGUUUACUGGACUUACCAUAAUUAACUGAUCCAGUCUGUUACAGUUACUCUCAAUGAUCAAAGUCAUUUUCUCUAUGAUAUUAUGAUUUUAUCAUUACGUUGCAUCGUGUUAGAUUCUCCUGCGGGACGUUUGAUAAUUGAAAUAUGUUCCAGUCACUGCAUGCUAUUGUUAUUGACUGUCCAGAAUUUAUUUAUUCAGUUGUCAGUGAUAAGCAAAGUCAAAUUCUCUACCAUAUUGUAAUACUACUAUUGUCUUCACCUAUAUUUUGUAAUGUUAAAUGAUUGAAAAAAUUUCUUGUUGCCUCUGAUGUGGAGUUGUUACUGAUGUUCUUGAUAGGGUGUUUCCUCUGAUUUUUUUUUUGCACAUAUUGGAUUUUAAUCGUCUUAUCUGUUGCAAUGAGUGAUCUUUUAGAUUAAUCUUUUUAUAAGUUUUUUUUCUUCAAUUAUAAUGGAUGGAGUUUAUGUAGAUGCGUUGAUGGUUUACAGAUAUUAUAGAGUAUGAUGGCACGGUUCCCUUUGCUUUAUUGGUGCGGUGUCUUUUUGUUUUUAAUUUUUUGGCACGGUUCCCUUGACGAUUGAUUCCUAUAGAUGAUGUUAAAGUUUUUUUUUUUUUGCGAUCAGUCAAAUAUCUUGAUUUUAGUUGUCUAUUAUGGUUUUUUCUUUUACUGUUAGCUUAAUUUUUUUUAAUGUUAUUCAGCAAUGUGGAAAUCCUAAUUUCCCCUUUGUGCUUGCAAUUGAUGUGAGGAUGCUUCCUUAUUGAUAUGCUUACAUUAAAUUUCAAGUCUUUUUAACCAUGUAAUGGUUGGUAUAUUGGAGAUUGUUUUGUAGUGCUUUUUUUGAUUAUUUUGGUUCAAGUUGAUGCAGAAUUUAUAGAUAUUAUGGAAGAUUGAUAUUAUCGUUAGCUUUUUUAGCUGGCCCAAUUGUUUUUGGUAGUUGUAGCAGCCUCUACUGUCACAGAAUAUGAAGUCUUUGAUAUGCCAUAUACUUCCAAAACCUGACAGGUGGCAGUUAAAAAAACGUAUACUUUAGUUGACCUAUGCAGUUCUAUUUUGCCAUGUGUCAUUAGAACCAAAUUGUGAGGUUUUAUAUUUUGUAUUAGAAGGGCUUUCCAAUAUUUAGAAUUGUUUUAUAUAUUCUUUUGAGGAUCAAAGACAUGUUUUUUGCUACCAUCUUGGUAUGAAUUUUCUGUUGUUCAGUAUUUUUUUUCUUUUUCUUUGAAGAGUUACAGCUGAUGUUCUUGAUAAAAGGUUUACAAUUGAAUGUUUUCACAUAUCUUGAAUUUUCAUUGUCUUUUUUUUCUGGAGACUGAGCUAUUGGAGUAGUUUUUUUCCAGAAGAGCUGCUUUUCCUUAGUCAAGAAGGAUUUGGGAUUUCUACAUGUAUGUUUUUUUGUGGUCUCUAAAGAUUAUGGAGGAUGGUCUAUCUUUUGUUCUGCUGGCAGUUUAGAUCUCACAGUAUAAUUGGUUCGUGAAAUAUUAUUCUCUUUCCAGAAGCAUGGUCAGUGGUAAUUUUGAAGGUCUAAUAAUUUACUUUAUCUCCAAGAAGUGAUUAUAGAGUAUGAUGAUACCUCUUUCACUUCCUUUGCAAUUUGUAAUUUUGUGGUUUGUUUAGUUUGUGAUAUGUUAUAAUUUUUUUCAAGUCUUAUAAAUGGUCAGUUUGUUCUUAGUUCAACUUUUCUAUAUAGGUUCCCCAUCUUCAGUUUGCCUGUGACAUGAGAUGCAGCUGAAAGUUGUUGAGUUUUUUUUUUGAAUGAUUGAAAAAGUUUAAGUCCUUUCGUAUUUUUUUGGUUGCUGAAUUUCUUUGAACUCGAUUGGGUUGCUGUGCUGUUGGAAAAUGUAGUCUUGUCAUCCAUAAAUCCUUGUGGAGAACUUUUGUCAAUGUACAUAUACAUGCAGAACACCGAUCUAGCCACCAUCGUGGAUUUAUUAGAUUUGUGCUUUUGUGGGUGUCUCCUAAUGGGCUAAUCUUUUUUUAUCCUCCUAAGUCCUAACCAUUUACUAGGGUUAUUUUACUACAAUAGCUCUUAGUGUAUAUGUUACAAUAGGUAGGUAUCAUCAAAAUUUUUUAUGUAACUUAAUGUUUUUCUUACCAUUAUUUAUAUAGUAUAGUGGUAUUGCAAGUUUUGAAUUCCAUUAUAUAUUUUUAAGAUAUAAUACACGAAUCUUUGCUACUUUGAUCUACAGUAAACAACAAUAAUUUAUGGUUUGGCUUUUGAUAUAUCUGUGGAUAGCUUUAAGCAUUAGAUAUUCUUUCUAAUUUGUUAAUAAUUCUUAAUGGCUCCAUGUUUGAAGUUUGUGGUUCUUGGAACUUUUUGGUUGCUGAAGACGUCUCUUUUUGGUAAAUGAGUCUGUAAGUUUGUAUAAGGUCUGGCUUUUAUGAUCUACUCUUGUGAUACUAAUCAAAUUUCUUCCUAAUUUAUGUAUCAGUUUUGCACUUUUGGUUGCCUGUUGCCUUUUUUGCUUUGUUUUUUUCACUCUUCUUGAUAGAGAUGAUUUUUUUUCACAGGGCACAGCAAAAAUCAGCUUUUGAGGAGUGUGCUUUCAUUAGAAUGUUAGUUGGUGAUUGAAAUUUUACCAUGAUUUUUUUUGUGUAAUUUAGGAGUCUAUUUUCCUUCGCUUUCGUGAUAUUUUUUUGUUGUUUCAGGAGUCUAUUUGCCUUCAACUUGGUUAUUUUAUUAUAACUGUGAUUCACAUAAAUUCUAAUAGGUUCCAAGCAAUAAACAUCAUGCUACAGGACGAACAGAGGUGGCUCAAGUUAUUAAUCUUGUAUGAAUCACCUGAUUCUUAUGAAUGAUAUCUUACUAAUUUUUGAUUGUCUUCUGCAAUGACUGAUCUGUUGGAGCAAUCUUUUAGCAGGGCAUCAUCCAACUGCUUCAGUUCAACUUACAUGAAUAAUCACAUAGACGAUGCUAAAAUAUUUGUGCAUGGAAAAUCUUUUUAGACCUAUGCUUUAUUCAACUUACAUGGUUAGACAGCUCAAGCAUCUAGAUAAUGUUACUUGAUAGUAGAUGAUUUUCUUAUAAGAUUAUUUUUGAAUGUAUAUGUACAUCCAUGCAAGUACAUAUGUAUACAUGCAUAGAUAAAUGUAUUUCUC
rnacentral:lncRNA from 1 species